rnacentral:rRNA from 1 species
AUUGAACGCUGGCGGCAGGCCUAACACAUGCAAGUCGAACGAGUGGCGGACGGGUGAGUAAUGUCUGGGAAACUGCCUGAUGGAGGGGGAUAAAUACUGGAACCGGUAGCUAAUACCGCAUACCAUCAGAUGUGCCCAGAUGGGUUUGGCUAGUUGGUGGGGUAACGGCUCACCAGGGAGACGAUCCCUAGCUGGUCUGAGAGGAUGACCACCCACACGGGAACUUGGCCACGGACCAGACUCCUACGGUAGGCAGCAGAGGGCAAUAUUGCACAAUGGGCGCAAGUCUUAUGCAGCCAUGCCGCGUGUAUGGAGAAGGCCUUCGGGUUGUAAAGUACUUUCUGCGGGUAGGCGUUACCCGCAGAAGAAGCACCGGCUAACUCCGUGCCAGCCGCCGCGGUAAUUC